CACGGGGGGAGCAAGCGUUGUUCGGAAUCACUGGGCGUAAAGGGUGUCUAGGCGGUCAGGUAAGUGAGAUGUGAAAUGCCCCGGCUUACCCGGGGACCGGCAUCUCAUACUGUCUGGCUUGAGUAUGGGAGAGGAUGAGGGAAUUCCUGGUGUAGCGGUGAAAUGCGUAGAUAUCAGGAGGAACACCGGUGGCGAAAGCGCUCAUCUGGCCCAAUACUGACGCUGAAGCACGAAAGCUAGGGGAGCGAACGGG
rnacentral:rRNA from 1 species